GACGUGCCACUGGAUGGCGCUGACUGGGCUCGAUGCCUGGCGGUCGCCCCCGCAUGGGGUGCUUGGGUUCGGCGUGCCUUUCGUGCAGCGGAGGAGACCCGCCGGCGUGAGCUCAAGGAUGAGCCCCAGGCUGAUGCCACCUCCUGGCUCUGGGCCAGGGACGCUCUGACUGAAGCUAUCAAGGCAAACUGCUCAGGCCGUGCGUCGCAGCAGGGCAACGCCCUCCUGGCCCUUUGCGCCCUGCUGGAGGCCACCACCGAGCACCUGCAGGGUCUGGACACUGGCGCCCGGCGACAGGCAGCACGCACUCACACUGCAUGGGUGCAUGCCCUGCUGGACCUGGUGUUGGAGUGCUGCGGACUAUCACCCUCCCGUCAGGAGCCCUCAGAGAGGGCGGGCACCCUUUCUUUCCAGUGGCUGCUCAAGGUGAUUCAUUCUUUCUGUCGCCACUUUUUCAGGUGUCUGGUUGGCAGGAAUAAAAGAUCCACGUGGAAGUGGAAUUAAUUUUAACUUGACCUGUC